GGGUUGUGAGGUUAAGCGACUAAGCGUACACGGUGGAUGCCCUGGCAGUCAGAGGCGAUGAAGGACGUGCUAAUCUGCGAUAAGCGUCGGUAAGGUGAUAUGAACCGUUAUAACCGGCGAUUUCCGAAUGGGGAAACCCAGUGUGUUUCGACACACUAUCAUUAACUGAAUCCAUAGGUUAAUGAGGCGAACCGGGGGAACUGAAACAUCUAAGUACCCCGAGGAAAAGAAAUCAACCGAGAUUCCCCCAGUAGCGGCGAGCGAACGGGGAGCAGCCCAGAGCCUGAAUCAGUAUGUGUGUUAGUGGAAGCGUCUGGAAAGGCGCGCGAUACAGGGUGACAGCCCCGUACACAAAAAUGCACAUAUUGUGAGCUCGAUGAGUAGGGCGGGACACGUGGUAUCCUGUCUGAAUAUGGGGGGACCAUCCUCCAAGGCUAAAUACUCCUGACUGACCGAUAGUGAACCAGUACCGUGAGGGAAAGGCGAAAAGAACCCCGGCGAGGGGAGUGAAAAAGAACCUGAAACCGUGUACGUACAAGCAGUGGGAGCACGCUUAGGCGUGUGACUGCGUACCUUUUGUAUAAUGGGUCAGCGACUUAUAUUCUGUAGCAAGGUUAACCGAAUAGGGGAGCCGAAGGGAAACCGAGUCUUAACUGGGCGUUAAGUUGCAGGGUAUAGACCCGAAACCCGGUGAUCUAGCCAUGGGCAGGUUGAAGGUUGGGUAACACUAACUGGAGGACCGAACCGACUAAUGUUGAAAAAUUAGCGGAUGACUUGUGGCUGGGGGUGAAAGGCCAAUCAAACCGGGAGAUAGCUGGUUCUCCCCGAAAGCUAUUUAGGUAGCGCCUCGUGAAUUCAUCUCCGGGGGUAGAGCACUGUUUCGGCAAGGGGGUCAUCCCGACUUACCAACCCGAUGCAAACUGCGAAUACCGGAGAAUGUUAUCACGGGAGACACACGGCGGGUGCUAACGUCCGUCGUGAAGAGGGAAACAACCCAGACCGCCAGCUAAGGUCCCAAAGUCAUGGUUAAGUGGGAAACGAUGUGGGAAGGCCCAGACAGCCAGGAUGUUGGCUUAGAAGCAGCCAUCAUUUAAAGAAAGCGUAAUAGCUCACUGGUCGAGUCGGCCUGCGCGGAAGAUGUAACGGGGCUAAACCAUGCACCGAAGCUGCGGCAGCGACGCUGAUGCGUUGUUGGGUAGGGGAGCGUUCUGUAAGCCUGCGAAGGUGUGCUGUGAGGCAUGCUGGAGGUAUCAGAAGUGCGAAUGCUGACAUAAGUAACGAUAAAGCGGGUGAAAAGCCCGCUCGCCGGAAGACCAAGGGUUCCUGUCCAACGUUAAUCGGGGCAGGGUGAGUCGACCCCUAAGGCGAGGCCGAAAGGCGUAGUCGAUGGGAAACAGGUUAAUAUUCCUGUACUUGGUGUUACUGCGAAGGGGGGACGGAGAAGGCUAUGUUGGCCGGGCGACGGUUGUCCCGGUUUAAGCGUGUAGGCUGGUUUUCCAGGCAAAUCCGGAAAAUCAAGGCUGAGGCGUGAUGACGAGGCACUACGGUGCUGAAGCAACAAAUGCCCUGCUUCCAGGAAAAGCCUCUAAGCAUCAGGUAACAUCAAAUCGUACCCCAAACCGACACAGGUGGUCAGGUAGAGAAUACCAAGGCGCUUGAGAGAACUCGGGUGAAGGAACUAGGCAAAAUGGUGCCGUAACUUCGGGAGAAGGCACGCUGAUAUGUAGGUGAAGUCCCUCGCGGAUGGAGCUGAAAUCAGUCGAAGAUACCAGCUGGCUGCAACUGUUUAUUAAAAACACAGCACUGUGCAAACACGAAAGUGGACGUAUACGGUGUGACGCCUGCCCGGUGCCGGAAGGUUAAUUGAUGGGGUCAGCGCAAGCGAAGCUCUUGAUCGAAGCCCCGGUAAACGGCGGCCGUAACUAUAACGGUCCUAAGGUAGCGAAAUUCCUUGUCGGGUAAGUUCCGACCUGCACGAAUGGCGUAAUGAUGGCCAGGCUGUCUCCACCCGAGACUCAGUGAAAUUGAACUCGCUGUGAAGAUGCAGUGUACCCGCGGCAAGACGGAAAGACCCCGUGAACCUUUACUAUAGCUUGACACUGAACAUUGAGCCUUGAUGUGUAGGAUAGGUGGGAGGCUUUGAAGUGUGGACGCCAGUCUGCAUGGAGCCGACCUUGAAAUACCACCCUUUAAUGUUUGAUGUUCUAACGUUGACCCGUAAUCCGGGUUGCGGACAGUGUCUGGUGGGUAGUUUGACUGGGGCGGUCUCCUCCUAAAGAGUAACGGAGGAGCACGAAGGUUGGCUAAUCCUGGUCGGACAUCAGGAGGUUAGUGCAAUGGCAUAAGCCAGCUUGACUGCGAGCGUGACGGCGCGAGCAGGUGCGAAAGCAGGUCAUAGUGAUCCGGUGGUUCUGAAUGGAAGGGCCAUCGCUCAACGGAUAAAAGGUACUCCGGGGAUAACAGGCUGAUACCGCCCAAGAGUUCAUAUCGACGGCGGUGUUUGGCACCUCGAUGUCGGCUCAUCACAUCCUGGGGCUGAAGUAGGUCCCAAGGGUAUGGCUGUUCGCCAUUUAAAGUGGUACGCGAGCUGGGUUUAGAACGUCGUGAGACAGUUCGGUCCCUAUCUGCCGUGGGCGCUGGAGAACUGAGGGGGGCUGCUCCUAGUACGAGAGGACCGGAGUGGACGCAUCACUGGUGUUCGGGUUGUCAUGCCAAUGGCACUGCCCGGUAGCUAAAUGCGGAAGAGAUAAGUGCUGAAAGCAUCUAAGCACGAAACUUGCCCCGAGAUGAGUUCUCCCUGACCCUUUAAGGGUCCUGAAGGAACGUUGAAGACGACGACGUUGAUAGGCCGGGUGUGUAAGCGCAGCGAUGCGUUGAGCUAACCGGUACUAAUGAACCGUGAGGCUUAACCUUACAACGCCGAAGCUGUU
rnacentral:rRNA from 1 species